GAGCGGUAUUGUGUCUUCGGAUACGAGCAGAACGGCGCGCGGGUGCGGAACACGUGUGCGACCUGCCUUCAUCUGGGGGAUAGCCUUCCGACAGGAAAAUGACUACCCCCGAAUAUGUAGAAUGGCGUCAUCCAGAGUCGAAAUACUCCCGUGGACAGACAUGGGCACGCGCAAGAUUAGAUAUUUGGUACGGUAACGGCCUACCAAGUCAGUGAUCUUUAGGGGGCCUGAGAGGGUGAUCCCCCACACUGGUACUGAGACACGGACCAGACUCCUACGGGAGGCAUCACUGAGGAAUAUAGGACAAUGGGUGAGAGCCUGAUCCACCCAUCCCGCGUGAAGGACGACGGCCCUAUGGGUUGUAAACUUCUUUUGUACAGGGAUAAACCUUUCCACGUGUGGAAAGCUGAAGGUACUGUACGAAUAAGCACCGGCUAACUCCGUG
rnacentral:rRNA from 1 species